UACGGAGGGGGCUAGCGUUGUUCGGAAUUACUGGGCGUAAAGCGCACGUAGGCGGCCUUUUAAGUCAGGGGUGAAAUCCCGGGGCUCAACCCCUGAACUGCCCUUGAAACUGGGAGGCUAGAAUCUUGGAGAGGCGAGUGGAAUUCCGAGUCUAGAGGUGAAAUUCGUAGAUAUUCGGAAGAACACCAGUGGCGAAGGCGACUCGCUGGACAAGUAUUGACGCUGAGGUGCGAAAGCGUGGGGAGCAAACAGG
rnacentral:rRNA from 1 species